rnacentral:sRNA from 1 species
ACCUCGCGAGAAGGAUUGCAGCGGCAUCCUUUUUGCUUUUUCUGCAAAAAGAUAUAGCGGAAAGCCUGUUUGCCA